rnacentral:rRNA from 1 species
AUUGAACGCUGGCGGCAUGCCUUACACAUGCAAGUCGAACGGCAGCACGGGUGCUUGCACCUGGUGGCGAGUGGCGAACGGGUGAGUAAUACAUCGGAACAUGUCCUGUAGUGGGGGAUAGCCCGGCGAAAGCCGGAUUAAUACCGCAUACGAUCUACGGAUGAAAGCGGGGGACCUUCGGGCCUCGCGCUAUAGGGUUGGCCGAUGGCUGAUUAGCUAGUUGGUGGGGUAAAGGCCUACCAAGGCGACGAUCAGUAGCUGGUCUGAGAGGACGACCAGCCACACUGGGACUGAGACACGGCCCAGACUCCUACGGGAGGCAGCAGUGGGGAAUUUUGGACAAUGGGCGAAAGCCUGAUCCAGCAAUGCCGCGUGUGUGAAGAAGGCCUUCGGGUUGUAAAGCACUUUUGUCCGGAAAGAAAUCCUUGGCCCUAAUACGGUCGGGGGAUGACGGUACCGGAAGAAUAAGCACCGGGUAACUACGU